GACAGCAGUAGCCGCGGUAAAACAGAGGGUGCGAGCGUUAAUCGGAUUUACUGGGCGUAAAGCGUGCGUAGGCGGCUUUUUAAGUCGGAUGUGAAAUCCCUGAGCUUAACUUAGGAAUUGCAUUCGAUACUGGGAAGCUAGAGUAUGGGAGAGGAUGGUAGAAUUCCAGGUGUAGCGGUGAAAUGCGUAGAGAUCUGGAGGAAUACCGAUGGCGAAGGCAGCCAUCUGGCCUAAUACUGACGCUGAGGUACGAAAGCAUGGGGAGCAAACAGGAUUAGAUACCCCGGUAGUCCCUGUCUCUUAUAA
rnacentral:rRNA from 1 species